UACGAAGGGGGCUAGCGUUGUUCGGAAUCACUGGGCGUAAAGGGCGCGUAGGCGGCCGAUCAAGUCGGGGGUGAAAGCCUGUGGCUCAACCACAGAAUUGCCUUCGAUACUGUUUGGCUUGAGACCGGAAGAGGUAAGUGGAACUGCGAGUGUAGAGGUGAAAUUCGUAGAUAUUCGCAAGAACACCAGUGGCGAAGGCGGCUAACUGGUCCGGUUCUGACGCUGAGGCGCGAAAGCGUGGGGAGCGAACAGG
rnacentral:rRNA from 1 species